CACAUAAACGUCCUUUCUUUAAUUCUAAACACGACGAACAAAAUCUUUAACAAGAGCAAUAUCUUUUUAAUUUUCCUAGGGAAAUUUUUAUCGGAGGUACUUGCGACUUUUUGUUAUCGACGAACUGAUACCGAAUUUCGGUCGGUAAUUUGUAAAUGUAAUGCAGAAAGAUAAGUUAUCGGUUGAAAGUUUGAUCAAUGUGAUUGGAAAGCAAUUCAGAAAAUAAACAGGGAAGGUAUAUGUUUUAUAUGAUAUUGGACGGCUUCGUAUUGCUUCUUCGACUCGUCAAAUAACGAAGGAAUGUCGAAUAGACACAUCCUCUGGGGAGAGGGGUAGAUUCUCGCGUAAAAUUUUUUUUUGGGCCAACUACUAGUUGUACAGGAUUAAAUAGAUUUCUGACACGCAGAUAUAAUCUUGAAGUACGAAUGUAAUUUUUUUUUAUUUCAACUAUAGUUACGCUGCAUAAUAUAAUAAUGCCACACGCUGCUACACUGGAUGUUCCUUAUGUUUUUAGUGAAAUUCAUUCAGUGAUCGAUUGAAAUCGAGCCACGGAGUGGGGAAAAUACUAAAGAAGACUCGAUAAACAGACUUUUGCUCACAUCAGACUCUUUAAUAUCGAGUUUCAGAGAAAUUGCAAGUUAUAUGCAGUUUUUGAUCUUUGUCCCGAAUACUCAGGCGAUGGAUUUCGCUCACAUAAUCGUACGACUAUCCGACCUUGUUUUCGAGUUAUAGCGAGUUUUUCCUUUAUCAAACUAAAUCUGCAUACCUUCGCAUUUAAUAAUCUGGCAUUUAUUUAUUUAUGCGUGAGAUACUGAGACGAAGAAUUAGAAUACAAGGUUCAAUGUCAGAUAUUGCGUUCUGCUUGUAAAUAAGGUAAAUCACAUUAGCUCAACUGCUUCCUUCUGUCUCCUCCUGCCGCCCUCUGUAGGAUUAUUUCAACAUAAAACUCGCUGUAACUCGAAAACAAAGUCAAAUAGCAGACGUGUAUUAUGCGAGAGAAACUUUAGGGACCUCGAAGCACUGAUCGGAGAAGUGCACCGAGACGUGGGAACGAAGGGGCCUGCGAUAUAGAAAGAAGAAGGAGACAGUUCGUACAACAGAGUAACAGAACAAAGAAGAGAUUCACGAAGGUCUGGAAGGAAAUAUUCUUAUCUGAAAUGAGGUGGAGAUCGAAAGUGUCGUAGUUUUGCAAGAUCGUCGAUGUUUCCAUGUGAUUUGCAGCGGUCGUUGACCCCAGACAUCGUUCGUACAGAAACAGACUUUUUGCAGUAAUCAUCGCGGCCAAUCAAGUCAUUGCUCUAAGCUCGUUUCAGCCUCGUGGCGCGAAUUACCUACUUGUUAAGGAGACGAUGCACAGCGUUUGAGAACGAUCGUUCGAUCCGGAAAAAGUUAUAAUAUGUUCGCCGUUCUCUCUAUUAUUUCGUUCUUCCUCCAAGUUUCUAUAUCCUUAACGAUCCAUAACUACCUAUAGAAAUCGUUUAAAUAAGAUAGUAUGUAUGUACAGGGUGUCAUAAAAGAAGCGCUAUCAUUUUACUGAGAAAUAAUUUCUACCUAAAAUAAGAUAAAUAUAGAAACCACAAAAAUAUGCCACAGUGGAAAACGGUAAAAUAUCACGAAACGUACCUGGACAAGAGGCUAACAGGGAGACACCACUUAUGAAAGAAGAUAGAAUAAAUGAAAAUAACAAGAGGACACGCGUAUUAGCUCGCAGGAAGACAACCCUAUCUGAAUCCUGAAAACAAACUAUUAAUCUACAAAGUUAUCAGAGAACCUAUCUGGAUGUACGGCAUCGAAUUACGAGGAACAGCAGCUGACAGCCGCAUUAAAAAAAAUAGGAUCAAUGCAGUCGAUAAUACACGACACAGUUGUGAAUGGUUCGCGGUAUGUUGAUGUAACGAUGACCUCAGAAAAAUCCUGGAAUGCUCUGCGAACAAGUAGCUAGUUGCUACAAAUAGUUGGCAACGCGUACACGUUAAAUUUAUCUCGAAGAUUGGUAAAAGCACAUCCGGGUAAGAAAAAAAGUCUUUUCCCAAGGAAAAAGUCUGCUUAGGUCAAGAGAGCGAGAGAGAAUUUAAUGACUUUCUGUCACAAUUUGAGAAAAAUUUCUUUCAAGAUUACGAUAGUAUCGCGCGUCGUAUGAGGCGUAGCCCCAUCUUGCUGAAACCAUAUGUUUUCCAAGUAUCUGACCGACCCAAUUCAGGCGGCAGGAACAUAUCGGGUUGCCGAUGCGUUCCAAGUUCUUAAGAACAACGUCUGGUGCAGUACGGGAGGAUCGUUCGCACAACUCUCGCUCGACUACAUCGAAGACCAACUCGACACAAUCGAGUUUCUUCGAAGCGUAAGGCAGAUUGAGAAAAAGCCACGGGACAUAGGUAGAUUCGUAGAAGAAACUCGUUGAAGUUCCAUUACAGACUGACGAUACAAAAAAAUGGUGGAAGUUAGGCCAGUUGCUAGGCAGGGGGUGUGGACACUCGAAUUUCCUGACUUGGCAUUUUCUCGAGAUGGACGAAGCGAAGAGAAGGAGUAAUCGACGAGUGCAUAUUUCGAAGGAAGAGAAAGUCAAACCUAACCCUAACCUAACCCUAACCUAACCCUAUGUCGCCGUCAUAUCAGGUAGCAACAGGCCCUGAGGCGACCGCUCGUGACGUUCGAGUGCCCGGUUAACGGUUCGCAGGCAAUCGAACGAUAAAGCGUGGCAAGUUUAAGAAAAGAGAAAGAAACGCCACAAUACGAUCGUCGUUAUACGCUAUUCUCUAAAGAUUCGAUAUUUCCGAGAAUGUUGCAAAGCGAAGGAACAGGAUAGAUCCAAACCAGAAAGACUGGUAUUGCAGUUCUAGCAAAAGAGAAGUGACUGUACGCUGACACUGACCGGACGUUGACCGGCAAAAAUGCAACGCGAGGUCAUCGAGUAGUAAUGAUUCGUAACAAAAAGAACAAGCGUACUCUCUCGUAGACCUUGGCGCGAACGAGACGCUUACGCUUUCCUUCGGAUCAUGGAGAAUUCGAGUCAUCGCCACCGUUUGCUUUCUCUGGUAUGCUAGUGGUGUCAUCGUUCAUUGGGAACGUACUUGUUAAUCUCUAGGGAAUUUCAUCCAAAUUAUGUCACGCUAGGAUAAUGUUCGCUUAGUAAUUAAUUCGGUAUCGAUAUAAUACCAACUAUAAUUACGCGACAGAUACAUGUACAUGUCGAUUACACAACAUCAUGUACGGUUUAUAUUCGAACGAGAGUAUCGGUGGUUAAACGAUUUCUUAAAAUCAUCGUUAUUGCUAAGAACUUUUUGCUUUUUCGCGCCACGUGUAAUUGCAUACAAGAAUCAUAACGUUAUUCAGGCCGCGAACGACCUCGACCCGCUUUUUUCUUCGUCUGGUUAUGCGCGACAGGCUAACCAUUUAUCUUUAGCGUUCAGCGGGCAGAGGUGGAUAAAUCCUCCUUUCUUUUUUCCUCUUUCUUUCUCGUGACUUUCUGUUUGUUUCGCCAGUACACGUCGGAUGAACGUCUGGUUCGCGAGCGCCUUUCCCCAACCGAAUUAAAAGUCGUUUUCCAAACAUCGAACUUUAUCAUUCACGAUGACCGCUACUUUAGAUACGCGUUAAAAAUGAAUUAUUAGACCGAUGCAUACGAAAAACCGUUUCUUCGAAGUUCCAACUUCCCGUGCCAGUACCACCCAUUUGGUUUUCCACGAUUAUUUCAUGAUUUUCGAAUAUGUUACCAGCCGCGUGUUUCCCCCAAAUUUUCCCCCAUAGUUCCUGAAAUACCCGCGGAGAAUUCUGCCUAUACUUGCGCGCCAAAUUAAAAUUAAAAUCUUGAAUUUUCUCAACAACAAAGAGAUAGCAGAACGUUAUCGAUCACUGGCGCCUACGUGUGCGGUUUAAAAGAUACCGAUGCAGCGUCCUUCUUAGACCAAUAUCACGAAUGUACCAUUCGAUAGAUAACAGGAAUUCAUGAUCGAGUGUAAAAUUAUUAGAUAAUUCUGGAGAUAAUGA